ACCAGAAAUUAGGCCUCUGGGUCACCUCCCACCCGUGUUUAACUGUACCUUGUUGCUUCGGCGGGCCCGCCUCACGGCCGCCGGGGGGCUCUCCUGCCCCCGGGCCCGCGCCCGCCGAAGACACCUGUGAACGCUGUCUGAAGUAUGCAGUCUGAGAAAACUAGCUAAAUUAGUUAAAACUUUCAACAACGGAUCUCUUGGUUCCGGCAUCGAUGAAGAACGCAGCGAAAUGCGAUAAUUAAUGUGAAUUGCAGAAUUCAGUGAAUCAUCGAGUCUUUGAACGCACAUUGCGCCCUCUGGUAUUCCGGAGGGCAUGCCUGUCCGAGCGUCAUUGCUGCCCUCAAGCACGGCUUGUGUGUUGGGCCCUCGUCCCCCCGGGGACGGGCCCGAAAGGCAGCGGCGGCACCGCGUCCGGUCCUCGAGCGUAUGGGGCUUCGUCACCCGCUCGUUAGGCCCGGCCGGCGCCAGCCGACCCCCCCUCAAUCUUUAACCAGGUUGACCUCGGAUCAGGUAGGGAUACCCGCUGAACUUAAGCAUAUCAAUAAGCGGAGGAA
rnacentral:rRNA from 1 species